AAAAACACAUCCACGUCUGACUAACAUAAUUAUUUAAAAACUACCUGACAACUACCUAACAUCCGCGUUCACAAUAAAAACCAUUGUUUGUUAUUUAUAGAUCAUGCAGGAUAACUUACUAUUUCUCUGUGAAACAAUAGUUGCUAUUCAUACGUGGUACUAUUCCAAUCAGUGGUCUGUGACAAGAUUACCAGCAGAAUCGAACACAUUUUGCUCACACUUGUCAGUACAGCAGAUCAAGUAUAUGGAAGAUCAGACAUUAUUUCACCAAUGUACACACCAAAAGGUAAAAAACCUACUGCUGUACAUAACCAUGUAGAUUACAUUUUCCAAUCAUAUUUGUUAGCUAUAUAAUAAAAAAUCUUACAGUUUGUGAAAAACCUGUUUAUCACUGAAACUACAAAUAUGCAGAAAUUGCCUACCAGUGAGCAAACCCCCAUUCACACAAUCAGUCAGAAUACAGAUAACUCAAAAAUGUGCGGGCAACAUGAGACCACUGACGACCAUCCAGUAAAUGGGAUCAGGUACUAGACAAAAAACUGCAUAUCAGAGUAGCAUAAACAGAGACAUGUAGCAGAGUAUGUUCGUUUCAUUCGAAUAAUUGUGAAAUGUAAUAUAUGAACUGCCUUAUAAGCAUUGCAAAGACAAAUUAUAUGACAAUCAGUCCUAACAUUCCUAUUAUUGUAAACGCUGGAAGCAAUCCUGUGCCUAGCAAUAAAUAGGUUACUGCAACAGAGCCUCGUUCAGCAACUUCAAUUAUCAAACUGCCAAUGCCUUCAGAGGAAGCUGCUGCACAAAUGCUUAUAGAUACUGGAUCUCCUACUUCUGAAUGCUACGUCGAGCCUCUUCAAAUACAAUUUGAUAUUACUCCUGCCACCAACUAGCAAUCCGAAGGGGGGUUAACAAGGAAUGCCAAUAUGUCUGGCGAACAACGGAUGACGCCAUCGCCAACGCCUCUAGCUGCAGCAAAGUAUGACACUACCCCGAGCACAUCAACUUGCAAGAAACGUCACAUGGACAUUCAGUGAGAAACAACAGUGGAUGACCAUUAUGUCAACUACAAUUGAACAAUGCGGCUUAACAAAUAAGACAUAGUGUUAGACAGUGACAAGACAUAAUGUUCAGACUUGCUACAAUUUGAGAACAUACUUGGCUUAUACUGAACAUUAGCUAUCACUGCUUAUUUACACAAUUUUGUACUGCAACUCGAGGUGCUACUACUAUAAAUAUUUGUUAGCAUCCAUCCUACCGUGAUGGAUUAACAAACAUUCAAAUAUCAUUUAAGCA